rnacentral:ncRNA from 1 species
CGCUUAUAGAGAAAGGCAGAGGGACUAGACCCGAUGAAGCCUUAGCAACCUGUCUCUUGACAAGGUGCUAAAUUCUACUCCAUAAAGGGGAAAGAUAAGCC